rnacentral:sRNA from 1 species
UCUUGCUGGUGUAUGAACAGAUCAGGAUGUGAGCUGGUUUGAUGACCCUAAAAACACCACUGGAGCAUUGACUACCAGGCUCGCCAAUGAUGCUGCUCAAGUUAAAGGGGCUAUAGGUUCCAGGCUUGCUGUAAUUACCCAGAAUAUAGCAAAUCUUGGGACAGGAAUAAUUAUAUCUUUCAUCUAUGGUUGGCAACUAACACUGUUACUUUUAGCAAUUGUACCCAUCAUUGCAAUAGCAGGAGUUGUUGAAAUGAAAAUGUUGUCUGGACAAGCACUGAAAGAUAAGAAAGAACUAGAAGGUGCUGGGAAGAUCGCUACUGAAGCAAUAGAAAACUUCCGAACCGUUGUUUCUUUGACUCAGGAGCAGAAGUUUGAACAUAUGUAUGCUCAGAGUUUGCAGGUACCAUACAGAAACUCUUUGAGGAAAGCACACAUCUUUGGAAUUACGUUUUCCUUCACCCAGGCAAUGAUGUAUUUUUCCUAUGCUGGAUGUUUCCGGUUUGGAGCCUACUUGGUGGCACAUAGACUCAUGAGCUUUGAGGAUGUUCUGUUAGUAUUUUCAGCUGUUGUCUUUGGUGCCAUGGCCGUGGGGCAAGUCAGUUCAUUUGCUCCUGACUAUGCCAAAGCCAAAAUAUCAGCAGCCCACAUCAUCAUGAUCAUUGAAAAAACCCCUUUGAUUGACAGCUACAGCACAGAAGGCCUAAAGCCGAACACAUUGGAAGGAAAUGUCACAUUUAGUGAAGUUGUAUUCAACUAUCCCACCCGACCGGACAUCCCAGUGCUUCAGGGACUGAGCCUGGAGGUGAAGAAGGGCCAGACGCUGGCCCUGGUGGGCAGCAGUGGCUGUGGGAAGAGCACGGUGGUCCAGCUCCUGGAGCGGUUCUACGACCCCUUGGCAGGGAAAGUGGUG